rnacentral:rRNA from 1 species
AGAACGAACGCUGGCGGCAGGCUUAACACAUGCAAGUCGAACGCCCCGCGAGGGGAGUGGCAGACGGGUGAGUAACGCGUGGGAAUCUACCCAGAACUUCGGAACAACUGAGGGAAACUUCAGCUAAUACCGGAUACGCCCUACGGGGGAAAGAUUUAUCGGUUCUGGAUGAGCCCGCGUUGGAUUAGCUAGUUGGUGGGGUAAUGGCCUACCAAGGCGACGAUCCAUAGCUGGUCUGAGAGGAUGAUCAGCCACACUGGGACUGAGACACGGCCCAGACUCCUACGGGAGGCAGCAGUGGGGAAUAUUGGACAAUGGGCGAAAGCCUGAUCCAGCCAUGCCGCGUGAGUGAUGAAGGCCUUAGGGUUGUAAAGCUCUUUCAGUAGGGAAGAUAAUGACGGUACCUACGAGAAGAACGCCCGGCUAACUUCGUGCCAGCAGCCGC